UUUUCAUAUCUCACAUUAAUUGCACUAUGUUAUAGUGUUAGUAGUGUAUGAAAUUACUAAAAAAGACAAAUUUAACUCUUAACCUAAAUGGUGAGGUUGUAUAUCUUAUUCAUUUACCAAAAAUGACCGUUAAAGGAGUUCUUCUCAGUCACAAUCUGCUUCCUCUUCCGCCUCCCACUUCGGCGUCGUGGCUCCAAGCAGUCUGCUGUAGCCAAAACCAAUCACCACUUCAUAAAAGAGAGGACUGCUUGGCGAUAGUUGAACAAGCUUCCUCCACAGCUCGAAGGUGGAGGCAAUAAAGGGCUACUUGACAUAAGACACGCCAUCUGGAUUAGCUACUACUGCCGCCAUAUUGUUCUUUCUCAUUUUAUAUCUUUUUUUUUUGGCAUUGAUAUCUUCUUAAAUUUGAUGUAUGUGCAAAAUGAAUUUAUACUAAUCUCUCAUUUUAUCUCUCUUUCGACAUCUAAAGAAGAAAACUAAUUUGAGGGUCAGUCGCAAUUGAUGUUACUCUCAUAUUGUUUUAGUUUUAAGAUUAUUCUUUCAGAUUGUAGGUAAAGUGUUUGAUAAAAUAUUCAAAUGGAUUUGAAAUAAAUUUUCAGCCAUUUCUUUCUAAGCUUUACUCAAAUGAAUAAAAUUUUUUGAAAAAAAGAUGUAAGGACUUUGACGUGAAAUUGAAGGAGUUAGACAUGGUUUUGGUGA